rnacentral:rRNA from 1 species
AUUGAACGCUGGCGGUAUGCUUUACACAUGCAAGUCGAACGGUAACAGGGUGCUUGCACCGCUGACGAGUGGCGAACGGGUGAGUAAUGCGUCGGAACGUGCCGAGUAGUGGGGGAUAACGCAGCGAAAGUUGUGCUAAUACCGCAUACGUACUGAGGUAGAAAGUGGGGGACCUUCGGGCCUCACGCUAUUCGAGCGGCCGACGUCUGAUUAGCUAGUAGGUGAGGUAAAGGCUCACCUAGGCGAAGAUCAGUAGCGGGUCUGAGAGGAUGAUCCGCCACACUGGGACUGAGACACGGCCCAGACUCCUACGGGAGGCAGCAGUGGGGAAUUUUGGACAAUGGGCGAAAGCCUGAUCCAGCCAUGCCGCGUGUCUGAAGAAGGCCUUCGGGUUGUAAAGGACUUUUGUCAGGGAGGAAAUCCCUAGUGCUAAUAACACUGGGGGAUGACAGUACCUGAAGAAUAAGCACCGGCUAACUACGUGCCAGCAGCCGCCGUAA